AUUGAACGCUGGCGGCAUGCCUUACACAUGCAAGUCGAACGGCAGCACGGGAGCAAUCCUGGUGGCGAGUGGCGAACGGGUGAGUAAUGUAUCGGAACGUGCCCAGUCGUGGGGGAUAACGCAGCGAAAGCUGUGCUAAUACCGCAUACGAUCUAUGGAUGAAAGCGGGGGAUCGCAAGACCUCGCGCGAUUGGAGCGGCCGAUAUCAGAUUAGCUAGUUGGUGGGGUAAAAGCUAACCAAGGCGACGAUCUGUAGCUGGUCUGAGAGGACGACCAGCCACACUGGAACUGAGACACGGUCCAGACGCCUACGGGAGGCAGCAGUGGGGAAUUUUGGACAAUGGGCGCAAGCCUGAUCCAGCAAUGCCGCGUGCAGGAUGAAGGCCUUCGGGUUGUAAACUGCUUUUGUACGGAGCGAAAAGGCUCUCUCUAAUACAGGGGGCUCAUGACGGUACCGUAAGAAUAAGCACCGGCUAACUACGUGCCAGCCGCCGCCGUAAUAC
rnacentral:rRNA from 1 species